AAUCAACGCUGGCGGCGUGCCUCAGACAUGCAAGUCGAACGAUUAAAGCUCUCUUCGGAGAGUGCAUAAAGUGGCGCACGGGUGAGUAACACGUAAGUAAUCUACCUCUGAGUGGGGAAUAACGUCCGGAAACGGACGCUAAUACCGCAUAAUGCAGCGGCAUCAUAAGAUGACAGUUGUUAAAGAUUUAUCGCUUAGAGAGGAGCUUGCGGCAGAUUAGCUAGUUGGUAAGGUAACGGCUUACCAAGGCUACGAUCUGUAACCGGUCUUAGAGGACGGUCGGUCACACUGACACUGAAUAACGGGUCAGACUCCUACGGGAGGCAGCAGUCGGGAAUUUUGGGCAAUGGGCGAAAGCCUGACCCAGCAACGCCGCGUGAAGGAUGAAGUAUUUCGGUAUGUAAACUUCGAAAGAAUAGGAAGAAUAAAUGACGGUACUAUUUAUAAGGUCCGGCUAACUACGUGCCAGCAGCCGCAGUAAGAC
rnacentral:rRNA from 1 species